AUUGAACGCUGGCGGAAUGCUUUACACAUGCAAGUCGAGCGGCAGCGCGGCCUUCGGGCUGGCGGCGAGCGGCGAACGGGUGAGUAAUGCAUCGGAACAUGCCCAGUCGUGGGGGAUAACACUUCGAAAGAAGUGCUAAUACCGCAUACGUCCUGAGGGGGAAAGCGGGGGAUCUCAAGACCUCGCGCGAUUGGAGUGGCCGAUGUCAGAUUAGCUAGUUGGUGGGGUAAAGGCCUACCAAGGCGACGAUCUGUAGCUGGUCUGAGAGGAUGAUCAGCCACACUGGGACUGAGACACGGCCCAGACUCCUACGGGAGGCAGCAGUGGGGAAUUUUGGACAAUGGGGGCAACCCUGAUCCAGCCAUUCCGCGUGAGUGAAGAAGGCCUUCGGGUUGUAAAGCUCUUUCGGCAGGAACGAAACGGUGGGCUCUAACAUAGUCCGCUAAUGACGGUACCUAAAGAAGAAGCACCGGCUAACUACGUG
rnacentral:rRNA from 1 species